AGAGUUUGAUUAUGGCUCAGGAUGAACGCUAGCGACAGGCUUAACACAUGCAAGUCGAGGGGCAGCAUGAUUUGUAGCAAUACAGAUUGAUGGCGACCGGCGCACGGGUGAGUAACGCGUAUGCAACUUACCUAUCAGAGGGGGAUAGCCCGGCGAAAGUCGGAUUAAUACCCCAUAAAACAGGGGUCCCGCAUGGGAAUAUUUGUUAAAGAUUCAUCGCUGAUAGAUAGGCAUGCGUUCCAUUAGGCAGUUGGCGGGGUAACGGCCCACCAAACCGACGAUGGAUAGGGGUUCUGAGAGGAAGGUCCCCCACAUUGGUACUGAGACACGGACCAA
rnacentral:rRNA from 1 species